rnacentral:rRNA from 1 species
ACCUGGUUGAUUCUGCCAGUAGUGAUACGCUGUCAUUAAGGACUAAGCCAUGCAUGUGUAAGUAUAAGAACUACUCGAGACUGCGAAUGGCUCAUUAUAUCAGUUAUAGUUUAUUUGAUAGUCCCUUACUACUUGGAUAACCGUAGUAAUUCUAGAGCUAAUACAUGCGUCAAGAUCCGACUUCGGGAGGAUCGUAUUUAUUAGGUUACAAAACCAACCCUCUUUCGGGAGGUUCUUUGGGUGAGUCAUGAUAAGCAUGCGGAUCGCAGGGCUUUACGCCGGCGACGGAUCAUGUAAGUUCCUGCCCUAUCAGCUUCGGAUGGUAGGGUAUUGGCCUACCAUGGCGUUAACGGGUAACGGGAGAUCAGGGUUAGACUUC